GACAGAGGGUGCAAACGUUGCUCGGAAUCACUGGGCGUAAAGGGCGUGUAGGCGGGAAGGAAAGUCGGGCGUGAAAUCCCUGGGCUCAACCCAGGAACUGCACUCGAAACUUCUUUUCUUGAGUGCCGGAGAGGAAAGCGGAAUACCUGGUGUAGAGGUGAAAUUCGUAGAUAUCAGGUGGAACACCAGUGGCGAAGGCGGCUUUCUGGACGGUAACUGACGCUGGAGACG
rnacentral:rRNA from 1 species